GGUGAGUUGGCCAAGUUGGUAAGGCAUCGCUCUCUCAAGGCGAAGACCACGAGUUCGAACCUCGUACUCACUA
rnacentral:tRNA from 1 species